GAGGAAUAUUGGUCAAUGGGUGCAAGCCUGAACCAGCCAUCCCGCGUGAAGGACGACUGCCCUAUGGGUUGUAAACUUCUUUUGUAUAGGGAUAAACCUACCCUCGUGAGGGUAGCUGAAGGUACUAUACGAAUAAGCACCGGCUAACUCCGUGCCAGCAGCCGCGGUAAUACGGAGGGUGCAAGCGUUAUCCGGAUUUAUUGGGUUUAAAGGGUCCGUAGGCGGACUUAUAAGUCAGUGGUGAAAGCCUGUCGCUUAACGAUAGAACUGCCAUUGAUACUGUAAGUCUUGAGUAUAAUUGAGGUAGCUGGAAUAAGUAGUGUAGCGGUGAAAUGCAUAGAUAUUACGUAGAACACCAAUUGCGAAGGCAGGUUACCAAGUUAUAACUGACGCUGAGGGACGAAAGCGUGGGGAGCGAAC
rnacentral:rRNA from 1 species